rnacentral:rRNA from 1 species
AUUGAACGCUGGCGGCAUGCCUUACACAUGCAAGUCGAACGGUAACAGGUCUUCGGAUGCUGACGAGUGGCGAACGGGUGAGUAAUACAUCGGAACGUGCCCGAGAGUGGGGGAUAACGAGGCGAAAGCUUUGCUAAUACCGCAUACGAUCUCAGGAUGAAAGCAGGGGACCGCAAGGCCUUGCGCUCACGGAGCGGCCGAUGGCAGAUUAGGUAGUUGGUGGGAUAAAAGCUUACCAAGCCGACGAUCUGUAGCUGGUCUGAGAGGACGACCAGCCACACUGGGACUGAGACACGGCCCAGACUCCUACGGGAGGCAGCAGUGGGGAAUGUUGGACAAUGGGCGCAAGCCUGAUCCAGCCAUGCCGCGUGCAGGAUGAAGGCCUUCGGGUUGUAAACUGCUUUUGUACGGAACGAAAAGACUCCUUCUAAUAAAGGGGGUCCAUGACGGUACCGUAAGAAUAAGCACCGGCUAACUACGUGCCGGCAGCCGCCGCUGUAA